GAGAGCGUGGUGUAAUGGUUUCAGCACUGGACUAUGACUCUGGAGACCAAGGUUUGAAUCCUUGCUCAGCCA